rnacentral:rRNA from 1 species
AUUGAACGCUGGCGGCAUGCCUUACACAUGCAAGUCGAACGGCAGCACGGGGCAACCUGGUGGCGAGUGGCGAACGGGUGAGUAAUGCAUCGGAACGUACCUUUCAGUGGGGGAUAACGUAGCGAAAGUUACGCUAAUACCGCAUAUUCUGUGAGCAGGAAAGCAGGGGAUCGCAAGACCUUGCGCUGAUUGAGCGGCCGAUGUCAGAUUAGCUAGUUGGUGAGGUAAAGGCUCACCAAGGCGACGAUCUGUAGCGGGUCUGAGAGGAUGAUCCGCCACACUGGAACUGAGACACGGUCCUGACUCCUACGGGAGGCAGCAGUGGGGAAUUUUGGACAAUGGGGGCAACCCUGAUCCAGCCAUGCCGCGUGAGUGAAGAAGGCCUUCGGGUUGUAAAGCUCUUUCGGCCGGGAAGAAAUCGCACGGGCUAAUACCCUGUGUGGAUGACGGUACCGGAAUAAGAAGCACCGGCUAACUACGUGCCAGCCGCCCGGUAAAAC